CAUUCAAUGUUUCUGGUCAUUUCCCUGCAGAUCAUGACUAGCUGAAGCAUGUGAACAUUGCUAUGGGCAGAGAUGGAGCAGCCAUUCUUGCAGCCGCGACUUAGCAGUACAGGUAAUUUAGCUAUGCAUGUGAUGGUGAAAGAAGCUUUUCUGAAAAGCUCCAAGCUAUAAGGUUAGCUAAAAAAACUGAUAUUCUGGCUUCUGUAUAGAAGCCUUAGCUUCUUGGCUUUGAUAGCGUGCUUAAUUGGCUUUUACUUGUUAUCAUGAACCAUGCUUGAGCUUUCACAAAUUAAUCACAAUAGUAUUUUGGAGGCUUAUUGUAUACUUAUAGAUGACUUCUUGCGUUUCAUUUAAUAAUGUUUUUUUUU